UACGUAGGCGGCUUAAUAAGUCAGAUGUGAAAUCCCCGGGCUUAACCUAGGAACUGCGUUUGAAACUGUUUGGCUAGAGUGAGUGAGAGGUUAGUGGAAUUCAAGGCGUAGCGGUGAAAUGCGUAGAGGUCUUGAGGAACAUCAGUGGCGUAGGCGACUAACUGGCACUACACUGACGCUGAGGUACGAAAGCGUGGGGAGCGAACA
rnacentral:rRNA from 1 species